rnacentral:lncRNA from 1 species
GUGGCGACUCUGGACAGCACGCAACUGUAUUUGGUAGUGUGUUGUCUGGAGGAAUGUUUUUUGCACAGUCUCUCCCAUUCCCAGUCAGUGACACUCGCAGAUAAAAGUGGGCCCCUGAAAAGCCCACGCGCUGCGCUGCUUUGAAUGCAAGCACCCUCACUUUGAUUAGAACGAGUUCUGCCUGAGGACUUGGUUAUCAACCUUGAUUAAUGGAGACUUAAAUGUCCGUCUGUGGUUGAGAUAUUUGGCUUUCUACACACGGAGCUAUUCGUGACCCAAGAUGGGAGGGUUGGAUUAAAGCAGGCCCAGAGGAGAGCACUCGAAGAGCAGUAUGCGGCCAACCGGCCGGCCAAGGCGGGCCCGGCGAUUGCCGUGAGUGCGCCCCCUGCAGCGACCCCGAAGAAAGCGGCCAAACCUCCAGCACCGGCUCCAAAGAAGAUCCCAGAGGCCGUUCCCAUUGCUGUUCCCAUCGCCGUGCCCAUCGCCGUGCCCGUUGUGGAGACGCCCAAAGUCGAACCCAAGCCAGUUGUGGAGGAACCCGUCGCACUGCCCGUCCCAGUCAAAGAAGAGGCACCAGAGCCCGAGGCUGUGGUGGCGGCAGUGGAACAGACUCCGGCAGAAGUGGAGGUUGAAGUCCCAGCGCCCGUCGCCGAAGAAGCGCCGGUCGUCGCCGAGACGCCACCGGUGGCGCCUUCUGAAGUUGAAGCGCCGGUCGCCGUCGAGACCCUGUCGCCUUCUGAAGUUGAAGCUGCCGUAGAACCCGAGGCUGAGCCCGUCAUUCCUGAAACAGAACCAGUAGCUGAGGUUACACCCCCGGCUGAGGCUCCAGUGGCUGCUCCCGCUGAGACUGAGGUUACUACGCUCGCCGCCGAGGCUCCGGCAGCAGCUCCUUCGGAGGCGGAGGUUGAGUCGGUUGAAGCUACAAUCGUGCCCACGGAGACGGAACCAACCGAGGCCAAACAGACGCAUGAUGUCUGCGAGCCAGAGACUCGGGUGGAGGCCGCGGCCUCGGCAGAGGAGGACACAGUCGCUGCCGUGGGAGCGGUCGCCGCGGUCGAAGAGGUCGCCGCGGUCGACCAACAGUCUGCCGAGGCGGAACCUGCUGCAGCCGAGGAGGUCGCGACGGCGGAGGAGAAGAUCGCCGAGACCGAACAGGCGACUGAAGCCGGCGUCAGUCCUGCAGCCGAGGAGGAAGCUGAAGUAGAAGUGUUGGCGGAAGAAGACGCACCAGCGGUCCCCGCUGAGCCGGUUACAAUCGCAGAGACUGUUCCUGUCCAAUCUGUGGAAAUCCCAGAGGUGCCAGCCUCCAUCCCCGAGGCGCCGGUAGAAGAAACUCCCGUGGCUGAAGUAACGGAGGCGCCCGUCCCCCAGGAUGUCGCCGACGUGGUGGUCGACGACUUCGUCGUCACGGAGUCCGUGUCAGCAGUGGAGGACGCCAUUGCCGAGUCUGUCGCCGACAAAGAGGUUCUGACAGUUGAUGCUACAGUCGUAACCGCGGAGACCGAACAGGAAAUCGUGGUCACGAGCGACGCCCCCAGCGCCCCGACAGAGUCCGUGGAUGCGACCCCCGCUGAGCCCGAGCCCGCCGCUGCCCCUGCGUUGGACACGGUCAUUGAUGCUGCUGUGGAUCAGAAAUGUCUGACCGUGCUGUCAGAGGAACCAAAGCCAGAAAUCCGUGACCUGCCGUGUCAGAUGCAGCUCGCCGUCGAGUCCAUGCAACUCAACUCAAUGGAGACGCCAGUGGAGACGGCGUUGAAUGGACACAUGGUUCCAGAGGUCUCCAUUGAGGGUUAG